GAUUGCAUGGCAUAGUGGUUUCAUUGUUAGAUUAUGACUCUGGAGACCAGGGUUCAAUUUCCUGCUUGACCA